CAUGAGAAAGCAAGGCUCUUACCAUGAUUCAGUGCCUUCGCCUUCUACCUCCUGGAAAUGAUCAGAGCUAGAAAUUCCAAACAAUGAGAAAGUCUAUCACAGCCAAGAAAUGGAAGUGGAGAUUUCAUGUUCUUAUUUUCAACUUGUCUGCUUCUUACCUCCUUCUGGACCUCAGAACAAGAAGGGCCUGGAGACUGAGGAGCAGAGUUUGAGCAAAUCCACGCUUUAAGAAAACUGUCCACUGCAGCUGAUACUGUACUGAUGGACCCAUGUACCCACACCAAGUCCACUGUAGUUGUAGGAUGAAAAUUACAUGCAUCAAGCGACAACCUGUAUUUUGUGGUCUGCUGG